rnacentral:rRNA from 1 species
GACGAACGCUGGCGGCGUGCUUAACACAUGCAAGUCGAACGGAAAGGCCCUGCUUUUGUUUGGUUCUCGUGUGGCGAACGGGUGAGUAACACGUGUGUAACCUGCCCUUGACUUUGUGAUAACUUCAGGAAACUGGGGCUAAUACCGGAUAUGAUCUCCUGCUGCAUGGUGUGGGUUGGUAAGUUUCGGCGUUUGGGGAUGUACUCGCUGCUUAUCAGCUUGUUUGUGGGGUAGUGGCUUACCAAGGCUUUGACGGGUAGCCGGCCUGAGAGGGUUACCGGGGACAUUGGGACUGAGAUAGGGACCAGAAUGGUACGGGAGGCAGCAGUGGGGAAUAUUGCACAAUGGGCGGAAGCCUGAUGCAGCAACGCAGCGUGCGGGAUGACGGGCUUCGGGUUGUAAACAGAUUUCGACUGUGACGAAGAGUGAGUGACGGUAAUGGGUAAAGAAGCACCGGCUAACUACGUG